CACGUAGGGGCCAAGCGUUGUCCGGAUUCAUUGGGCGUAAAGAGCUCGUAGGCGGUUCAGUUAGUCGGGUGUGAAAUCUCCGGGCUCAACCCGGAGGGGCCACCCGAUACUGCUGUGACUCGAGUCCGGUAGGGGAGUGGGGAAUUCCUGGUGUGAGCGGUGAAAUGCGCAGAUAUCAGGAGGAACACCGGUGGCGAAGGCGCCACUCUGGGCCGGUACUGACGCUGAGGAGCGAAAGCGUGGGGAGCGAACAGG
rnacentral:rRNA from 1 species